rnacentral:rRNA from 1 species
UAUCAUGCAGUCGACGAUGAGUACCUUUCGGGGUACAUCAGUGGCGGACGGCUGAGUAACACGUAGGUAACGUGCCCUUUACUGGGGGAUAACAUCGGGAAGCCGGUGCUAAUACCGCAUAAGUGCCAGGUUGAAAUACCUGUCAUUAAAGAAUUUCGGUAAAGGAUCGGCCUGCGUCUGAUUAGCUAGUUGGUAGGGUAAAGGCCUACCAAGGCAAUGAUCAGUAGUUGGUCUGAGAGGAUGACCAGCCAGAGUGGGACUGAGACACGGCCCACACUUCUACGGAAGGCAGCAGUAGGGAAUUUUGCGCAAUGGGCGAAAGCCUGACGCAGCAACACCGCGUGUAGGAUGAAGGAUCUUGGUCUGUAAACUACUGUCAGCAGGGAAUAAUUUUGACUGUACCUGCAAAGGAAGCAUCGGCUAACUACGUGCCAGCAGCCGCGGUAAGACGUAGGAUGCAAGCGUUGUCCGGAAUUAUUGGGCGUAAAGAGUUCGUAGGCGGUUAUCUAAGUCUGGUGUUAAAGCCCGAAGCUCAACUUCGGCAUGGCAUUGGAAACUGGAUAGCUAGAGUGUGGUAGAGGUAUCGGGAAUUCCUGGUGUAGCGGUGAAAUGCGUAGAUAUCAGGAGGAACACCGGCGGCGAAAGCGCGAUACUGGGCCAUAACUGACGCUGAGGAACGAAAGCCAGGGGAGCGAAAGGGAUUAGAUACCCCCUGUAGUCCUGGCCGUAAACGAUGGAUACUAGGUGUUGGGAGGAUUCGACCCCUUCAGUGCCGUAGCUAAACGCGAUAAGUAUCCCGCCUGGGGAAGUACGACCGCCAAGGUUGAAACUCAAAGGAAUUGACGGGGGCCCGCACAACCGGUGGAACAUGUGGUUUUAAUUCGAAUGCACCGCCAAAAAACCUUACCUGGGGCUUGACA